UAGAAUUUGUGGUUGCAGACGCCGUGCUGGGGCACCAGGUGACACCAACUGAAGAAAUCCACACAAGAUGGAUCCUCUGCAAGGAAAAUACAGCAGGGACAUUAGCCGGGUUCUCCAGCCUUUUUUUAAGCUGCUCAAGUAAGAUGACUGACAGAUAAGAUGUCGUACACCAGAGAUUCUUACAGAGAAGGGCCUCAGGAGACAAGGAAUUCCUAGAUACAUUUGGAGGUACAGUCUAAAGAAUUUGCUGGCACAUUUGGUAUAAGAAACCCACCACAGUUCACAGAUUGUGUGCUCGCCUCAGAUACAACAACUGAACAUUGAUGACCUAAGCCCAGAGGUACCAACGGGAAGUCUUGGAAAAGCUAUAGCACUUUUAUGCUAGCAAGUGACACCUUAGCGCACUGGAAUCUGGUGAGGCUGAAAAAUAGUUCCUGGUGGUCCUCAGACUGCUUUACAGGAAGUUGGACCAAGGCUGGUGUCAGUAUUUUCCCAUCCCUGCACUUGAACUCUAACUACAGCAGUAGCUAAGAUGCAGUCCUAGGGUGGUUACAUCUAUAGUGCCUCAUUGAUUAAAACCUAAGCUCCGUGAAGGCACUGCCUGUUCAUUCAUCUCUGGCACAAAGGGGUUACUUUGGCAUUUAUUUACUGAACAGUGCUUAAUUUCAAUCAGUUGGGCAGGAACCAGCCCAGGAGUGGGGCCUUGGACCCAUCUAGGGAGCACUGUUCCUGACACUUUGAUGUGCGGGGCUGUAGUAGAGCAAGGUGCUGCCCAAACCACUCGAGUGGGCUUCUGCCAAAGCUCUCUGAAGACAAAUUGCAUGGACAGGCACACGGGUCCUUUACCUUUCUU